rnacentral:rRNA from 1 species
GAUGAACGCUGGCGGCGUGCCUAAUACAUGCAAGUCGAGCGAACGGACGAGAAGCUUGCUUCUCUGAUGUUAGCGGCGGACAGGUGAGUAACACGUGGAGAACCUACCUCUAAGACCGGGAUAACUUCGGGAAACCGGAGCUACUACCGGAUAAUAUUUUGAACCGCAUGGUUCAAAAGUGAAAGACGGUCUUGCUGUCACUUAUAGAUGGAUCCGCGCUGCAUUAGCUAGUUGGUAAGGUAACGGCAUACCAAGGCAACGAUGCAUAGCCGACCUGAGAGGGUGGUCGGCCACACUGGAGCUGAGGCACGGCCCAGACGCCUACGGGAGGCAGCAGUAGGGAAUCUUCCGCAAUGGGCGAAAGCCUGACGGAGCAACGCCGCGUGGUUGAUGAAGGUCUUCGGAUCGUAAAACUCUGUUAUUAGGGAAGAACAUAUGUGUAAGUAACUGUGCACAUCUUGACGGUACCUAAUCAGAAAGCCACGGCUAACUACGUG